UUUUUUUUGAGAAAUGAUCUUGGGAAUUCUCCAACGUGCUCUGCACUCUGGCACGCGUGAAAAAACCACAAAAUUGGCCCUUAGGCCAAAGUUCAGCGCAAAAUGACCUCGUUUUCAAAAUAUUUCACAAAAUGGCCCUACCCACAUGACGCCCGUGCCCGGAGCGCCAUGCUAGAUUACAUAACGCCCCGGUCAAGGACUCCAUACACGUCAGCGCUGACCACCACAUCGGCCUGGCCUUGGGUGCAUGACGCCGCGGCCCAGGGCGCCAUGCUCUGUAACACGACGCCCCGCCCUUGGGUGCCAUACCUCUUCACUUAUCCCUG
rnacentral:lncRNA from 1 species